AUUGAACGCUGGCGGCAUGCUUUACACAUGCAAGUCGAACGGUAACAGGGAGCUUGCUCCGCUGACGAGUGGCGAACGGGUGAGUAAUGCGUCGGAACGUGCCGAGUAGUGGGGGAUAACGCAUCGAAAGGUGUGCUAAUACCGCAUACGUACUGAGGUAGAAAGUGGGGGACCUUCGGGCCUCACGCUAUUCGAGCGGCCGACGUCGGAUUAGCUAGUAGGUGAGGUAAAGGCUCACCUAGGCGACGAUCAGUAGCGGGUCUGAGAGGAUGGUCCUGCACACUGGGAGUGAGACACGGCCCAGACUCCUACGGGAGGCAGCAGUGGGGAAUUGUGGACAAUGGGCGAAAGCCUGAUCCAGCCAUGCCGCGUGUCUGAAGAAGGCCUUCGGGUUGUAAAGGACUUUUGUCGGGGAGGAAAUCCCCAGCGCUAAUACCGCUGGGGGAUGACAGUACCUGAAGAAUAAGCACCGGCUAACUACGUGCCAGCCGCCGCAGUAAAAC
rnacentral:rRNA from 1 species